UUAAAGGAAUUGACGGAAGGGCACCACCAGCAGUGGGGCCUGCGGCUUAAUUUGACUCAACGCGGGAAACCUCACUAGGCCCGGACACUCGAAGGAUUGACAGAUUGAGAGCUCUUUCUUGAUUGGGUGGGUGGUGGUGCAUGGCCGUUCUUCGUUGGUGGAGCGAUUUGUCUGCUUAAUUGCGAUAACGAACGAGACUCUAGCCUGCUAACUAGUCGAUACCGGCAUCCUAUGUGCAGCCGGCGACAAUAUAUCUUCUUAGAGGGACAGGUGGUGUAUAGCCACACGAGAUUGAGCAAUAACAGGUCUGAGAUGCCCUUAGAUGUUCUGGGCCGCACGCGCGCCACACUGAAGGGAUCAGCGUGUGUUUUCCUAGUCCGAGAGGACCGGGUAACCCGAUGAACCUCCUUCGUGCUAGGGAUUGGGGCUUGCAAUUUUUCCCCACGAACGAGGAAUUCCUAGUAAGCGUGAGUCAUAACCUCGCGUUGAUUAUGUCCCUGCCCUUUGUCCACACCGCCCGUCGCUACUACCGAUUGAAUGAUUUAGUGAGGUCUUCGGACCAGUGCGCGGCCUUCGGAAGAUUUUCUUUCGAAGAUCGAUGCUACCGGGAAGAUGACCGAACUUGAUUAUUUAGAGGAAGUAAAAGUCGUAACAAGGUUCCC
rnacentral:rRNA from 1 species